UACAGAGGGGGCAAGCGUUAUUCGGAAUUAUUGGGCGUAAAGGGCGCGUAGGCGGCUUGGCAAGUGGAUGGUGAAAUCCCUCGGCUUAACCGAGGAACUGCCAUCCAGACUGCUUUGCUUGAGGCCGGGAGAGGUGAGUGGAAUUCCCAGUGUAGCGGUGAAAUGCGUAGAUAUUGGGAGGAACACCAGUGGCGAAGGCGGCUCACUGGACCGGUACUGACGCUGAGGCGCGAAAGCGUGGGGAGCAAACAGG
rnacentral:rRNA from 1 species